ensembl:lncRNA
GUUGGGAUCUAAAAAAGUGGCAAGUAGAAAUUCCUUCUUAAAGAAAAGGUGAGUUAAAAAUGACAUUUUUAACCGGAUUCUAAAGCCUGACGAGCUCAAAUUGUGUUUUGGACUAAGCAAACCACCUUGUUCUCCCAAACCCCUUCAAUUUUGCCAGUGUUCCCAGAGCAUGGGCUGUGAAAAUGGUAUCAGGAUGAAGAGAUGAGGUAAGACAGCCCCCAUGAUCCUAGGGGAGAUAGGCAUGUCCCGCAGCUGUGGCUGUGCUCCUGCUGUGGGUCCACCAUGACAGGCACACCUGUGGAGACACAAAAGGCCUCACGUAGCCCAAAAGGUCCUCCAAUCUGGAGAGGAGCUGGGCUGUUUUCUGGCUCUGAGAUUGGGAGUGGAGUACAAAGAUGGUGGGAAAACACCUAUUCACCUUCCCACUGAAACAUAGGACCUCCCUGCCUGGGGCCUGUUUGUUGUAAAAUGGUAAAGGAGGGCCCUGACUGGGAAGAGGAGAAAUUGCAGGCCCUGCAGGCUGGGGCACAGAGCUCCCUGUUGAAUUAAAAAAAAGCACCAAGAAGGUGGUGAUAUGGCCCAGGAACCAUUCUAACAGAGCAAGCCUUGAGCUGGCAGAUGCUCGCGCACAUAAUACAGUGCCUUUCUGCUGCUGUUCAGUUACUUUGUGAAUGCCACCAGAAGUCUCAAAUAAGGAUAGCACUCAUAUACUCACCAUCCUGAGAAAAAAAACAUCUGAAGGCCUUAAUCUCCUAUUGCAAAAAAAAAAAACAAAAAAACAUUGUCUUGGCCAUCAGUACACCACCAGGCUCUGCAGUAUCUUUGCCUGCCUGGGGGUUUUGGCUUUCCAUAUGCAAAAUCAGCUCUGAUGUGGUGCAGGUGAGUUUGAGUCUGCCUCACCACUAUGGAUGUGUCACCUGCUCAAGGAACUUCAGACUGGCCCUUUUUGCUGACAUCCAAUGCACUCUGCCUUUCUUGUGUGGACACAGUGGACUGCCCCAGCUUCAGUGGAAACAGCCUGUUGUCUUGCUAUUGCUUGUGCCUUAUCUUGCUAUGCCUGUGACUCGUAACUCAUCCUUGCAGAUCAGCCCACUGAUACAUGAUUGCUGCACAAUGAAUCUCCGCUCGUCGUAGGUCAUCAUGCUACCACACAUCUUCAUCGUGUUGCACAGCUAACUAAUGACUACAUCUGACUUCUGCAUCCCACCCUUUCCCCAGGAUGUCUGUUCGCCUUUGUGCACAGAAGCCAGCCAUACCUAUUUACUGCUGGGAUGGAAUAAUAAUUAGGAUUUUUUUCUCUUGAAUUAUAGUUUUUACACUGUUGCUUACUGUUAUGCAGAAAUAUAUUGAGGAGUAAACACAACUUGACUGCAAUGACAAAAAGGAGAAGAAAUAUCUGUCUUCAGUGGGAGUAUAGUUAUGGUCUCAAAACUGAUUAUAGCGAUAACUUUUAUCAUGCUCUUUCUUCAUCCUUAUUCCUGUAGGUUAAGACUCAAGUCAUUGAUGCAAUGUCCCAGAAAUAACAUUUUGGCUUAUUCCCAGAUGGUAUACUCAACAGGGUAUCUGUAGCUGCUUGCACAUAAUUUACAAGGAAAACCUAUAGGACCAUAACAUAUUCUCAGUAAAACCCCAAACCUUUGACUUCUAAGCUUGCUCAUGAUAAAUAUCCCAGCUACGUAAAAACUGGAGCACACCCUCAGAGAACAGAGACAUUCAAUCUUCAUAACCAUUUAAAAAGAAAUAUACAUCACAGAUGGAAUGGUUAGAAACAAGCAUCCUCCUGAAUGCAAGUGUGCAGGGUAUCCAACCAAAUAGCUGACUUCCAUAGAUUUAACCCUGCUUUUUAUUGUGUCCUUAUAGAUUUUAUACCUCUAAUAUAUAAAUAUAUAUAUGCACAUAUAUACAUUUAUACUUACAUUUGUCAACACAUGAAAAUGUCUUUUCCAAGGUAACAUUAAUACUGUGAGCAGGAAAAGCCAUCAGUUCUUGGUUCAGUAGGAUUAGUCAUCUUUCCCUGACAAUAUCAUAAACCUGAAGACCUACUUAGACUAAGUGCCUGCUUUUACAAUGCUAUAUGUAGGUAGGAUGAUUCACUCUUAAUUUAAGAGCCACAUUUGCAUAACAAGACAGCGUCAGUUAAAUGUCUAAAUGCCUGGAUCAGAUUUUCCAGCUUCCACAGAACACAAAGCCAUCACUGAUCUCAGCAUGAAGCGAACUCUGUGAAAUCAAACUCCAUUUGUAGAUACAAAGCAUGUUGCAGGGAUGUGACCCUACUGUUCUGUUUAGACCACAAGAGCAACUAUAUAGCAUCAGACUGAAGUCUGAAAAUGGCCAACGACAGCAAAGAGCUGCUAGAGGUUUCUGUGCUCGAGGUUGUACCGAGGCUAUUAUGUUUAAUAGUUACUGAUGACUUUCUUGAAUUUUUUAGCCUAUUCAUGAACCUCACUCACUUUGAACAAAUUUGCACUUUUGAUUUCUAAAUACUCUGUGAUGAUGAUUUCCAGAGCAGAGCUAAUAGUUGCCCUUUUCUAUGUAUAACACUGAUAAAGGUCUUCUCAGUGGAAGAGACAUGAUGGGAAUAUAUUUCAUGUGACCUUGCUGGAAUUAGACUGCCUCAUGGGAAUUUAGUUCAUAUGGCCUUGCUGGAAUUAGAUUGCCUGAAAAGCAAACUAGGGAACUUUUAGUGAGGGUCAUUGUAUAAUGUGUAGGCCAAAAGCCAUCAUUUUUCGAGACAUGAAUCAUUUUUCCGGAAGAAAAGGAAAAUGGAAAAUGAAUAUCACCUGCCUUGAAUAUGUAAGGGAGAGUCAGGCCUUCUUUCACUGAUUUAACUGAAUUAAAAGUAAGUAUUUUCUUGCUUGGCAUGUCUAAAGUUACAAGAACUCUGUAGAAGCUAAGGCAGCCAAACUGUGCGUGUGCUGCCUGAGGCUCCUUGCUUUCAAAGGCUCCUGGGCAUCCUCCCAGGGGCAUGCCAGGUAAAAGCAACGCUUUCUCCAUUUAACCAUAAAAUAGAAGACCAAGGACAACCCUUCCAAAACCAGCAUCAGUUUCACAGGAUGACAACUUAUGUACUUGGAAGACAUAGAUUUUGCAUAUUUGUAGGACCGGAAAAGUCAGACUAAAAAAUAAUCAUAAAUCAAUCCUACAGAUGGUUUUUCAUCUUUGCAUUCUCUCUAACUGCUGAUACACACACCUUGAUGCAGGCACAAGGUCCUGCACUUUGCAACUUCUCAGACAGUACACAGGCUGUCUUGAGUUUGAAGUCUUUAGGUUCAAGCUGUCUGUCUGACUAAACUUUUCAGAAACUGUCCCCUUUCCCUCUUAAGCCAGCAGCCUACUUUCUGAUGAAAUCACAGUCAAAGCAUGACCACACAUCAUCCAGUGAAGUGCGCUGGGAGAGUUCCUGUGAGCUUGUGCAGCACUGACAUAGGCUGGGCUGGAGUGAAGGUGAGGGGAAGGAAGGGAACAGCAAAAAUGAGUGCACAAUAUGAACAGCAAAUAAAUUCUCUUGCUACCAAAGGCA